GCCUGGGUGGCUCAGUCGGUUGGGCGUCUGACUUCGGCUCAGGUCAUGGUCUCAUGGGUCGUGAGUUCAAGCCCCACAUCAAGCU
rnacentral:tRNA from 1 species